CAGAAAAGCGGAAGGUUUCUGGUCAGAACCCGGGGGGCUUUGGGGGGCUUUGGGGGGCAGCUCUCCGGGAGCAACCAACAGCCUGAUGUCCUGAAUGCCCUGACUGCGUGGGAGUCGAACAGGAGUUUUCACUUUUGAAGGUCCGGUGUUGGAGGAUGAAUUAUUGCUGUUCAGAUCCUUUUCUUACACCCAAACCUCUUCUUUUCUGUUUUGAUGUAACUUGAGUUCCACUAUGAAUUCAUUUUGAUUCAGUUCCUGUUGAGUUCAUAGUCUGGACCCCUGGAUGCAAAUAUGCAGCAAAUCACUUUGGCUCUAAAAUUACCACAAUUUAGCAGUAUUUCAGCAAAAAUACAUAAAUGCAUUGGAAAUAAAUUCAAGCAUCAAGGGGUUUCCCUCUUCUUUUUCUGUGAUAAAGUGAAAACAGAGUAUUUCCUGUCUGCCUCCCUCCUCAAUGGCAUCAACAUUUGUCAAAAUUAGCUCCAGCAUAACUCCUGCAAUGGAACAGAACUGCUCUAACCUUAAUAAAUACAUUAUGUGUAGACACUCA